GCAUAUCAAUAAGCGGAGGGAAAAGGAAGCCACAGGGAUUGCCCAGUAACGGCGAGUGAAGCGGCAACAGCUCAAAUUUGAAAUCUGGCCCCAGGCCCGAGUUGUAAUUUGCAGAGGAUGCUUUUGGCGCGGUGCCUUCCGAGUUCCCUGGAACGGGACGCCAUAGAGGGGUGAGAAGCCCCGCACGGUUGGACACCAAGCCUUUGUAAAGCUCCUUCGACGAGUCGAGUAGUUUGGGAAUGCUGCUCUAAAUGGGAGGUACAUUUCUUCUAAAGCUAAAUAUUGGCCAGAGACCGAUAGCGCACAAGUAGAGUGAUCGAAAGAUGAAAAGCACUUUGAAAAGAGGGUUAAACAGCACGUGAAAUUGUUAAAAGGGAAGCGCUUGUGACCAGACUUGCGUCCGGUGAAUCACCCAGCUCUCGCGGCUGGGGCACUUCGCCGGCACAGGCCAGCAUCAGCUUGCCGUCGGGGACAAAAGCUUCAGGAACGUGGCUCCUCUCGGGGAGUGUUAUAGCCUGUUGCAUAAUACCCUUCGGCGGGCUGAGGUACGCGCUCCGCAAGGAUGCUGGCGUAAUGGUCAUCAGCGACCCGUCUUGAAACACGGACCAAGGAGUCAACCUUAUGUGCGAGUGUUUGGGUGUUAAACCCCUACGCGUAAUGAAAGUGAACGCAGGUGAGAGCUUCGGCGCAUCAUCGACCGAUCCUGAUGUUCUCGGAUGGAUUUGAGUAAGAGCAUAUAGGGUUGGACCCGAAAGAAGGUGAACUAUGCGUGUGUAGGGUGAAGCCAGAGGAAACUCUGGUGGAGGCUCGCAGCGGUUCUGACGUGCAAAUCGAUCGUCAAACAUGCGCAUGGGGGCGAAAGACUAAUCGAACCUUUCUAGUAGCUGGGUUUCCGCCGAAG
rnacentral:rRNA from 1 species